rnacentral:rRNA from 1 species
CCUUUGACGUUAGCGGCGGACGGGUGAGUAACACGUAGGUAACCUACCUAUAAGACUGGGAUAACUUCGGGAAACCGGAGCUAAUACCGGAUAAUAUUUCGAACCGCAUGGUUCGAUAGUGAAAGAUGGCUUUGCUAUCACUUAUAGAUGGACCUGCGCCGUAUUAGCUAGUUGGUAAGGUAACGGCUUACCAAGGCAACGAUACGUAGCCGACCUGAGAGGGUGAUCGGCCACACUGGAACUGAGACACGGUCCAGACUCCUACGGGAGGCAGCAGUAGGGAAUCUUCCGCAAUGGGCGAAAGCCUGACGGAGCAACGCCGCGUGAGUGAUGAAGGUCUUCGGAUCGUAAAACUCUGUUAUUAGGGAAGAACAAACGUGUAAGUAACUGUGCACGUCUUGACGGUACCUAAUCAGAAAGCCACGGCUAACUACGUGCCAGCAGCCGCGGUAAUACGUAGGUGGCAAGCGUUAUCCGGAAUUAUUGGGCGUAAAGCGCGCGUAGGCGGUUUUUUAAGUCUGAUGUGAAAGCCCACGGCUCAACCGUGGAGGGUCAUUGGAAACUGGAAAACUUGAGUGCAGAAGAGGAAAGUGGAAUUCCAUGUGUAGCGGUGAAAUGCGCAGAGAUAUGGAGGAACACCAGUGGCGAAGGCGACUUUCUGGUCUGUAACUGACGCUGAUGUGCGAAAGCGUGGGGAUCA